rnacentral:piRNA from 1 species
UAAGAGUCAGGAGAAGUAACAAUGAGA